rnacentral:rRNA from 1 species
AGAGUUUGAUCAUGGCUCAGAGCGAACGCUAGCGGCGGGCCUAACACAUGCAAGUCGAGCGCAUAGCUUCGGCUAUGAGCGGCGGACGGGUGAGUAACACGUAGGUCAUCUACCCUUUGGUGGGGAAUAACCCGGGGAAACCCGGGCUAAUACCGCAUGUGGCCAGCAAUGGUCAAAGCCCGCAAGGGCGCCAGAGGACGAGCCUGCGUCGCAUUACCUAGUUGGCGGGGUAACGGCCCACCAAGGGGACGAUGCGUAGCUGGUCUGAGAGGAUGAUCAGCCACACUGGGACUGAGACACGGCCCAGACUCCUACGGGAGGCAGCAGUGGGGAAUAUUGCGCAAUGGGCGGAAGCCUGACGCAGCCACGCCGCGUGAGUGAUGAAGGCCUACGGGUUGUAAAGCUCUGUCGGGAGGGACGAAGUUCUGACGG